rnacentral:lncRNA from 13 species
UGCUUAGCUUAAAAAUACAUUUCAGUGGGAGGUGGAGCAAGAUGACCAAAUAGAAGCCUCUACUGUUUGUUCCCCCUGCAGGAACUCCGAAUGGAACAACUAUCCGCACAGAAAACCACCUUCAUAAGAACGAAAAAUCAGAGGGUCCCUGCUGCCUGCUUCCCUUUCGGCCAUGAUUGUUAAGUUUCCUGAGGACUCCCCAGCAAUUCAGAACUACUCCUGCCACCACCAUGAGAAGAUGCUGUUUCCAGCUUGAAGGAGAAAUAUAACAGAAGUCCAAUGAAAGAGAGCUGAGUGUCCCCAAUGAUGCCAUCGAGAUGAGCUAACUACAGUUAACCAGCCAGGUGACAGCAGAUACAUGAGUGAGCCCAUCUGAGAGCAGGUGAGCAUAGCCCAGGGUAGCAGAACUGCUGAGCCAGUCCCUUAGUUGACUCAGAAUAGUAAGUGGUUGUCUUCAGCCAUUAAUCGUAGAGUGAUUUGUUAUACAGCAAUAGUAUAUCGGUACAGGAUCAUUGGUUCCAGAAUUCCCAUAUUAGAGAUGAGAAAACUAAGGCUGGGGAUCUACAUUUUCCCCAACUUAAUAUAGCUACUAAACUCCCCAAAUUUUAGAGUUGACAACUCUACUUAUAAGUUAUAUAAAAUCCGGAGCACCUAAUUAUUGACAAACUUCUCAA